rnacentral:tRNA from 1 species
GGAGAGAUAGCUCAGUGGUUAAGAGCACUGGCGGUUUUUCCAGAGGACCUGGGUUUGAUUCCCAGCACCU